rnacentral:rRNA from 1 species
UACGAAGGGGGCUAGCGUUGCUCGGAAUCACUGGGCGUAAAGCGUACGUAGGCGGAUUGUUAAGUCAGGGGUGAAAUCCUGGAGCUCAACUCCAGAACUGCCUUUGAUACUGGCGAUCUCGAGUCCGGGAGAGGUGAGUGGAACUGCGAGUGUAGAGGUGAAAUUCGUAGAUAUCUGGAGGAAUACCGGUGGCGAAGGCGGCAUCCUGGACCGGCAUUGACGCUGAGGAGCGAAAGCCAGGGGAGCAAACGGG